ACUGCUAUUUACUGUGGCCCUAAGGUGCAGAACACAACAGCAAAUCAGAAAACACAACACAAAAAAGAAAACACAACGGUAUUAACUUUUGUGUUUUCUCUUUUAGUGUUGUGUUUUCUGAUUUGCCGUUGUGUUCUGCACCUUAGGGCCACCAUAGCUG